UAGCUACGUAUGCAGCUGGAGCCAUGUGU
rnacentral:piRNA from 1 species